rnacentral:rRNA from 1 species
GAUGAACGCUGGCGGCGUGCCUAAUACAUGCAAGUCGAGCGAACGGACGAGAAUCUUGCUUCUCUGAUGUUAGCGGCGGACGGGUGAGUAACACGUGGAUAACCUACCUAUAAGACUGGGAUAACUUCGGGAAACCGGAUCUAAUACCGGAUAAUAUUUUGAACCGCAUGGUUCAAAAGUGAAAGACGUUCUUGCUGUCACUUAUAGAUGGAUCCGCGCUGCAUUAGCUAGUUGGUAAGGUAACGGCUUACCAAGGCAACGAUGCAUAGCCGACCUGAGAGGGUGAUCAGCCACACUGGAACUGAGACACGGUCCAGACUCCUACGGGAGGCAGCAGUAGGGAAUCUUCCGCAAUGGGCGAAAGCCUGACGGAGCAACGCCGCGUGAGUGAUGAAGGUCUUCGGAUCGUAAAACUCUGUUAUUAGGGAAGAACAUAUGUGUAAGUAACUGUGCACAUCUUGACGGUACCUAAUCAGAAAGCAACGGCUAACUACGUG